rnacentral:rRNA from 1 species
UACGGAGGGGGCCAGCGCUGUUCGGAAUUAUUGGGCGUAAAGGGCGCGUAGGCGGCCGGGUAAGUCUGCUGUGAAAUCCCACGGCUCAACCGGGGAACUGCAUUUGAAACUGUUCGGCUCGAGUCCGGGAGAGGGUAGUGGAAUUCCCAGUGUAGCGGUGAAAUGCGUAGAUAUUGGGAGGAACACCGGUGGCGAAGGCGGCGACCUGGACCGGUACUGACGCUGAGGCGCGAAAGCGAGGGUAGCAAACAGG